CCCCCUGUAGCUCAGUGGCUGAGCAUCUGCUUUGCAUGCAGAAGGUCCCUGGUUCGAUUCCCGGCAUCUCUGUUUAGGGCUGGG